GUAUAAGAGACAGCAGUCGCCACGGUAAUACAGAGGGUGCGAGCGUUAAUCGGAUUUACUGGGCGUAAAGCGUGCGUAGGCGGCUUCUUAAGUCGGAUGUGAAAUCCCUGAGCUUAACUUAGGAAUUGCAUUCGAUACUGGGAAGCUAGAGUAUGGGAGAGGAUGGUAGAAUUCCAGGUGUAGCGGUGAAAUGCGUAGAGAUCUGGAGGAAUACCGAUGGCGAAGGCAGCCAUCUGGCCUAAUACUGACGCUGAGGUACGAAAGCAUGGGGAUCAAACAGGAUUAGAGACCCCGGUAGUCCCUGUCUCUUAUAC
rnacentral:rRNA from 1 species